UCCGGUUUAACACCGGCAGUCUCGCUAAAGUGCCCGACUUUACUCGCUGGCAACUAGCGACAAGGGUUUCGCUCGUUAAGGGACUUAACCCGACACUUCACAGCACGAGCUGACGACAGCCAUGCAGCACCUGUGCUAGUUCCACGGCAAGCCGCGUCACUUCGCUUUCACGAAAGCUAAUCCUAGCAUGUCAAACCCAGGUAAGGUUCUUCGCGUUGCUUCGAAUUGAGCCACAUCCUCCACCGCUUGUGUGAGCCCCCGUCAAUUCCUUUGAGUUUUAGCCUUGCGGCCGUACUUCCCAGGCGGCACACUUAACGCUUUUGUUUCGGCACGCCGGACGUCAGAGUCAGGCAAACCUAGUGUGCAUCGUUUACGGCGUGGACUA
rnacentral:misc_RNA from 1 species